GAUGAACGCUGGCGGCGUGCCUAAUACAUGCAAGUCGAGCGCCUGCACUUUUCGUUUCUUAUCUAACCAAGUGGUUUGAACAGCAAGGAACGAAGUGUGCAGGAGCGGCGGACGGGUGAGUAACGCGUGGGAAUGUACCCCAGACUGAGGGAUAAGCACCAGAAAUGGUGUCUAAUACCGCAUAACCUCUACGGAGAAAAGCUUCGGCGGUUUGGGAACAGCCUGCGUAUGAUUAGCUAGUUGGUAAGGUAAUGGCUUACCAAGGCGACGAUCAUUAGCUGGUCUGAGAGGAUGAUCAGCCACACUGGAACUGAGACACGGUCCAGACUCCUACGGGAGGCAGCAGUAGGGAAUCUUCCACAAUGGACGAAAGUCUGAUGGAGCAACGCCGCGUGCAGGAUGAAGGUCUUCGGAUUGUAAACUGCUUUUAUGGGUGAAGAUUAUGACGGUAACCCAUGAAUAAGGAUCGGCUAAUUCCGUGCCAGCCGCCGCCGUAACAC
rnacentral:rRNA from 1 species